ensembl:lncRNA
CCCUAUAUUUUGUCACAAAGUGUCUUUAUUUACAAAUCAUGAUGUACAAAUAAAACAAAAACAAAACAUUAGGUUACAAUGAAAAACGACAAACAAAGAACACCACCAGGUUUUGUUCAGUAACUUGUUUAGACAGAUAGAUGUGUAACGGACUCUAACCAGCCCGCUACAAUAAUUAUAAAUAAUUAUAAAUAAAAUGUCUCUGGGUGGUCAAAAGUACAUGCAGUGGAGUCGUGGACGUUAAUCUGUCACCACUUUAUUGCACCUGCAACACAGCAGUAAUGGGCGAUUACACACAAGGGUAGCAAUGCUGGUAUCCCUUUCAGACUUCCAGGUAAGAGCUAACAAAUUAAAUGCUACCAUAGGCUAACCACCGUUACAUACAUUAUAGCCUACCGUCUACAACACUAGUAGUCAAACACCGUGAUCGUAUAGUGUAUUAAAUGUUAAUGAUAAAAAUGCAACCAGACAUAAACAUAGUACAUGACAGAUUAUAAGUAUUCACACCACACUCAGGCUCAACAUACCUGCAACACAGCAGUAAUGGGCGCACACAAGGGUAGCAAUGCUGGUAUCUACAACAAUUAAUUAGCCAGUUAGCACCCACUUAAUGGCUAGACAAACAUUUAUAACUCAUACGUAUUUAACGCCGCUAAGUUGCAUAUUCAACGGGAUGCAAAUAGCGGAGAUGAUAGACAACAAUCUUAUAUCACACAAAAAAUACACGUGAUGGAAAACUUUGAAAAAUACACAACACCAAUUAAUCUCAUUAACGGAGAAUUAAAGAAAUCCAGCUUACCCCUUUCACAGACUUCCAGGUAAGAGGAAGUCUUGAGGUGUGUCACACCAAUUAUCGCCUCAUUAGCAACAACACUGAACCCAGUAGUGGAACCUGUAAGUAGACGAUGGGUUGACUCAAAAACGAUCCGCAUACGGAUGUAAUUCUAGAAUGUUGAUUGGUUAAGAUGAGUUACCAGGCAGGAACGGAAAACACCAUUUAUUUGAUUGGCUAAUACCAGGACCUCUACUUUUCCCGCUGAGCUGCAACGUCGUUUGCCUGACAUUUAAUGUGGUGUCACGUUUAACGUUGCUGUUCAACAUUAAUAGCAACUGAAUUACACGUGUGUUAGGUGUAAUCUGUAGCGUUAAAUAACAUAAACUGAGAGUUUGUUAAUGACUGUAACAAAGCUCUUUUUGAAACCUUUGGGAUAGAGCAUGCUGUAACUUCAGCCUACCACCCGCAGCGCAAUGGGCAAGAUGAGCGCUCAAACCAGAACAUUAAGCGGCAUCUUGCAAAGUACUGUAAUGAGGAGCGGAAUGACUGGGACGUCUAUCUGCAACACGCUGUUUAUUCGAUAAACACCUCGAAGCAGCGUUCCACAAAGACACGCCCAAAGAUGUCGGCAUCGCUUCUGAUGUCCAGGAAUUGAGUGUAUUGUGCGACAUCUCGAUGGAAGCUGUAGGUGCUGAAUGUGCAGAUGUUGAUCACACAUUGGAAGUUGUCGUGCCACGUUUCGCGACUUAGACAGUCUGGCAGGCCCAGAGUUCAACUGGCUGACCGAUGAUAUUGUGAAUACGUGCGUUGCAGUGAUUGCUGCAGAUCACAAACAACGUUCCACUGUAAGUAGUUUCUAUUUUCUCUCUAGUCUGACAACUUACCAGUAUCUGUUAUUGUUUUGUAGAAGUUUACUCUGGUUUUUUUUUUGUUUUCACAGGACAAAGCCGUGUUCCACGCCCUUACCACAGACGCAUACACGUUGUGGUGUCGUGACUGGACAGCACAUAGUUGU